CUGAAUGCGUGGCCUUCGGGCCCGUCUUUCUACACCCUUUGUCUACCUUCCUGGUGCCGAAUCGUCCGGGGCAACCCGGGCCUGCAGGCACCGCAACCUCUGGUGAGAUGCGUCGUUUGACAAAUCGAAUCCACACA
rnacentral:misc_RNA from 1 species